GAUAGUGUGGCCGAGUGGUCUAUGGCGCUGGUUUUAGACACCAGUCUCUUCGGAGGCAAGGGUUCGAAUCCCUUCACUGUCA
rnacentral:tRNA from 1 species